rnacentral:rRNA from 1 species
CACGUAGGCACCAAGCGUUGUCCGGAUUUAUUGGGCGUAAAGAGCUCGUAGGCGGUUCGGUAAGUCGGGUGUGAAAACUUUGGGCUCAACCCAAAGCGUGCAUUCGAUACUGUCGUGACUAGAGUUCGGUAGGGGAGCGGGGAAUUCCUAGUGUAGCGGUGAAAUGCGCAGAUAUUAGGAGGAACACCGGUGGCGAAGGCGCCGCUCUGGGCCGAAACUGACGCUGAGGAGCGAAAGCGUGGGUAGCAAACAGG